rnacentral:rRNA from 1 species
AGUGAACGCUGGCGGCAGGCCUAACACAUGCAAGUCGAACGGCAGCACAAGAGAGCUUGCUCUCUGGGUGGCGAGUGGCGGACGGGUGAGGAAAACGUCGGAAUCUGCCUAUUUGUGGGGGAUAACGUAGGGAAACUUACGCUAAUACCGCAUACGACCUACGGGUGAAAGUGGAGGACCUUCGGGCUUCACGCAGAUAGAUGAGCCGACGUCGGAUUAGCUAGUUGGCGGGGUAAAGGCCCACCAAGGCGACGAUCCGUAGCUGGUCUGAGAGGAUGAUCAGCCACACUGGAACUGAGACACGGUCCAGACUCCUACGGGAGGCAGCAGUGGGGAAUAUUGGACAAUGGGCGCAAGCCUGAUCCAGCCAUGCCGCGUGGGUGAAGAAGGCCUUCGGGUUGUAAAGCCCUUUUGUUGGGAAAGAAAAGCAACCGGUUAAUACCCGGUUGUCAUGACGGUACCCAAAGAAUAAGCACCGGCUAACUUCGUGCCAGCCGCCGCCGUAA